rnacentral:misc_RNA from 1 species
CAGACCACCACCACGCACGUGCGCUGCAAGGACCGUGGCAGCACAACGCCACCGACACCGACGAAAGGGGGAAAAACGCAAAUACACACACACACAUAUAUACUCAUUUGCCCGGCACGCCAAGCGCUAAGAAGUAUAUAAUACACAAGAGCCGAGACACACGCACACACAGAGUAGCUGCCCCAUCACCGCCACACGCACCCUGCACCCUCCUGCCUCUUUUCGUUUCUUCUCGCUCAAGUACUUUGGAUACUUCCCUCCCCUAUAAUGCCUUGCGAAGGCUGCGGCGUCAGUGAGGCCGGCCUGCAGUGCCCCACCUGCAAGAAACUGAGCUUGCCGCCGAGCUUCUUCUGCACGCAGGACUGCUUCCGGGCGCAUUGGGGAACGCACAAGCUGAAGCACACCGAGAUGAAGAACCUGCCCGCCACGAUCCCCACAAUGACGGAGGUGGACGAGCGGCUCUUCAACUUCACGGGGCCACUCCGUCCUGGAAAAAUCACGCCACGCCGUGCUGUGCCAAAGGAGAUAGCGCGGCCAGACUACGCGGAGCGAAACGACGGCGUUUCCGAGUCGGAGGAGAAGGAUCGAGGCAGCCACCGCGUCGUUGCACACAACCUCAAGAACUUGCACGAAGACUACAACAACGCCGAGCUGCGCCGGAGCUCCGACAUCCUCAAGAUCAAACGUGUGAAUGCGCUCUCGCGUGAAGUGCUGGACAUCGCCUGCGCGGCGGUGAAGCCGGGCGUCACGACGGACGAAAUUGACCGCAUCGUCCACGAGGCGACGAUCAAGCGCGGCAUGUACCCAUCGCCGCUGAAUUACUACAACUUCCCCAAGUCCGUCUGCACCAGCGUGAACGAGAUCAUCUGCCACGGCAUUCCAGACAACCGCCCACUCGAGGAGGGCGACAUAGUAAACAUAGACGUCUCUUGCUACCUCGACGGCUUCCACGGCGAUUUGAACGAAACGGUGUUUGUCGGCAAGCCAGACGAGGAAAGCGUGAAGAUUGUGCACACGGCGUACGCCUGCAUGAUGGCCGGCAUCAGCGUUGUGAAACCGGAUGAACUCUACCGCUACAUCGGUGACGCCAUCGAGGCGCGGGCGGAGAAGUCGGGCUGCAGUGUAGUGCGCAGCUACACCGGGCAUGGUAUCGGCAAGUUCUUUCACACGGCACCGAACGUGUGCCAUUACAAGGACAACAAAAGCCCCGGACUCAUCAAGCCCGGGCACGUCUUCACAAUUGAGCCGAUGAUCAACCUGGGUACGUGGCAGGAUGUAACCUGGCCUGAUAACUGGACGAGUGCAACGAAGGAUGGCAAGCGCACCGCGCAGUUUGAGCACACGAUGGUGUGCACACCAGAAGGGGUAGAGCUUCUGACAGACUGGAAGGACGGCAUACCCUUUUACCAGAAGCAGCUGAGGGAAUGGGGCAUUCCGAUCCCCGCCGAAGACCCCAGCGAAAUCAAAAUCUGAGGAAUACUCCACGAAACACAGACCGAGGGGAGGGAGGGGGUGGCGGGCUGCAUUCCCUCAAGACCGUGAGCGCGUUCUUGGGAGGAGUGUGCCUGCUGCCCCUCUUGUGGUGCUGUGGGUGAGGAGACGCGUUGGGAGUCUUUCCCGCAUGCCUUUCUUUCCUGAGUGCUUCUGCCGCCUGCCCUCGGGCACGGCUGGCGGACUCUUGACGUGGGCGGGAGGAGUCGUGGGCGUAGCCUGCGCUGCAUGCAGUGAGGUAGCCAUGACGCUGAGCAGCGCCCCACGGUGCUGGCCGGCUCGGUUUUGUGGCGCAUCGUCGCUGCAAGCCCGUGCUGUGCAGGGGGCGCGUCACCCCCGCAGGCCUGUAAGGCCUUUGGUCUCCCUCGCUCUCAUCAUUGCGGCGCAGCAAGAGACGACGGGCACGCCGGUGGCGUCUCGGUGCUCCUCCAGCGGGGCGUACGCACAGGUGCAGGCCCGAGGACCCACAAGUGCGAGCGCUGUGUGCACGCGCUGCCAGCCACCGCUGGCGUGGUGUGUCGCAGCCACGCAGGGCGGCACGCGGAGGUCCGCAGAGCAACGGUGAGGCGCGGAGAAUGCGUUAGAGGAUCCAGACGAAUCAACUGCCCACGCAGGGCACGCGUGCGAAACAUGUGCGGCAUCUCCCACCUCCGACCGUGCGGGCUGACGCGGCGCCGAUGCGGGAAGCACGACGAGAGCCCCCUGAACUCGCGCCAUCGAGUCUUCCAGACUGGAGUGUGGAGAGUCACUGCACGAUCUUGUGGAAUGCCGCGGCUUGAGGCGACGGAGAUUGCGCAACACGACACACACACACACAAACACACAGGUCGGGUGUAGAGGGUCUCAGCGGGCCCUGGCCUGCAGCUGGCCAACGUCCUGCUUGAGGUCAUCCGGCAUGCAGGUGGGCCAGCCCCCCUCCCCCCACCCCCUAUUACCCGCACGGCAGACGCCACCGCUUCCGCCCUCGAGUAAGGACCCGGACGCAGCCGUGGGGAGGGCGGGGGGGCGGUGCAGCGGAGGCGGGUGAGCAGUGGCUGCAUCUGCGUCUGUGUUGCUGGCAUGUGUUCGUGGGCGGGAUCGGGGCACGGUGAAACGAGAAGCUCUUCACGUACUGCUUUAGUCGGAUGACGGGGGAGGGGACACCUCAGCCGCGCAGCAGGAUCUACCACCUACUGUUUUGGAAAGCCGAUAAGCCCCUCUCCCCUCUUAUCCCUCCCAGCGCCGAGCCACACCUGGCGGUGGCGGGACCAAGCACCGAAGGCUUUGUGGAUUCAGUGCGGUGCGUCGCUACUGCCGUCGGCGGCGAGGUCGCGGACGGCGUUGCGUCGGAGCGGACUGCGACCGUGCACGCGCUUGUGCCAUGGACAUGCUAGUCAGCGUGUGAAGGUGGCUCGGACGUAUGGCGCCCGCGGCCCUGACUGGGUAGUUGUGGGGAGCCUGCGCCACCCGGAGGGAUGCACGAGGCGGUGACCCGCCUAAUGGGAGGCGGCUGUGGGGCGGCCUGCGGAGCCGGUGGGGGUGGGGGGCCGGGUGUGUGUCUGUGAGGUUGGAGGCAGGGCUGUGCUGAGAUGGCCGAGUCGGUGCAUUGCCAUGGCACGUGUUUCCAUGGCUGCUUUCGCAUCACGCGGAAUGGGGGGGGGCCUGUGACAGACCGGGAUGUGGCUGGAAGGUAGGGUUGUGCCGUGUGGGAGAUGAAAAGCGCAUUGCGGACACCGCUCUCUCCCUCACUGUCGUUGUCUGGCAUGCUUGGUGGCUUUCACGCUUGCGCUCUCCAUUCUUUGUACGUUAGUGCAUGCUCCCGCGGAGAGGGGAGGGGAGGGGGAGAGGUGCGCAGGUGAAACCGCGUGCCUUUUCCCAAGUGUCUCACGGCACGGAUGCGCGAUGUGUCUUGUUCGCCUUGUGCUGUGGGCGUGCAUAGACGCCUGUCUUGCCCCCGCCACAGCUGGAAAUUUCUGUGGACUGGUGUAUGGCUUCUCUUCUGCCUAAGGUGUAAGCCGAGAAGGUGUCUGUAUAUGUGCGCGGGCGCCAAGUUUUUCAGGAUUUGAAGUACAGCCACGACGGGGAACCGCAUCGCCAACCCUUUCCCACAGGCUUACCGGUCUCGCGGUCAGCAUAUCCUUUUCGAGGAUUUGGCUGCUCAAAGGGUGAACCGACCGCGGAGGCGCAGAAUCGGUUGAGUGUCCUCCCCCCUCCCCGCCGCAACUCUCCGCCGCUAGAGGGACCUCGGGGCGUGCUUGCUGUUUAAAGGAAGAUGCGCUUGGCUUCGUCAUUGCCCUCGGGCAGAUUCGCCGUCCGUUUCGGAACAUCUUGUGGUCCAGCGCUUUCUGCGCCCAACGUUGCAAACUUGCCCGUUUUUUUUUUCUUCGCACUGGUGCCCUCGUCUCUUCCUCCUCUGUUUUCUUUUUUUUUUCGAGCACGGAGCCUCCUCCUCACCCCCCAACCCUCACACGCACUGCCUCUCCGCGCGAACACGCACCACACGCACUGGCAUCGCCACAUGCGUACACGAAUCAACCCUCGUCCUGCUCCUUCUUGCCUCGUGGCAUUGUUUGCUGCCACGCCCGCGCACGCUCUGAUGGGAUGCGGCCGACGUACUCAAACUUAUUUGCAUAUGGCGCGUCUUUGGAUGUGCGUAUGCGCUGGCGCAAG